rnacentral:rRNA from 1 species
UACGAAGGGGGCUAGCGUUGUUCGGAAUUACUGGGCGUAAAGCGUAUGCAGGCGGAUCUUUAAGUCAGGGGUGAAAUCCUGAGGCUCACCCUCAGAACUGCCUUUGAUACUGGAGAUCUUGAGUCCGGGAGAGGUUAGUGGAACUGCGAGUGUAGAGGUGAAAUUCGUAGAUAUUCGCAAGAACACCAGUGGCGAAGGCGGCUAACUGGCCCGGUACUGACGCUGAGAUACGAAAGCGUGGGGAGCAAACAGG